CCCCGCACCCACCACCCGCUCGACGUCUUCUCCUUCCCCAUGGGCUCCGACCCCCACGUCCAGAUGGGCCCCUCCCCCACCCGCCGCCGAUGACGACCUCGGCCGAAAGAAGCGCGGCCGGCCCCGCAAGUACAAGCCCGACGGCUCCAGCCCCGCCCCUCGCCGGCGGCCCCCUCCCCCUGCACCGCCAUCGUCCUCGUCACGCCCGGCUGCGGGGGCGGGCCCUCCUCCGUGAAGCGUCGCGGCCGGCCCCCCGGCUCCGGCAAGAUGCAGCAACUCGCCUCCCUCGGGAAAUCGUUCCUCGGCACCGGGUUCACCCCCCAUGUCAUUAUCAUCCCCUCAGGAGAGGGUCUGGAAAACAUUCUGGAUCACCAUAUGUAAAUAGGCUGGAGUGAUUUCUAUAUUUUGACAGAGAAGUUUACUAAUGGUUAGCUUUCUUCAGGAUCUCAAGUUUGACAACAAAAGAAAGGGCUGCUGCCCCGUUAUCGUCGUCAUCCUCACGCAGCUCGGCAGAGAGAAAAGAGGAGGUCACCGGGAGACGACGGAAGAUCAAAGGAGGAUGGAUGAGUGCAUCACUACAGUACUGCCCUGUUUCUCCUUGUUGGCAGCACUGACUCGAUUUCAUACGAAAGGAGGAUGACUGCAUCACUACACUUUUUCAUAGGCACUACCAAUAUACUGAACUAUGACCAAAAUUAUUUGGCAAACUUCAUGAGUGAGUUGAGAUUGAAGGUUAUUACUGGCUAUUGAUGUGAUGGCACCUGUCAUGGCAAACUUCACGAGUGACCAAAUAUCAGGUGGACCAGGAACCGAGGGCUUUGUUCUAUUUGUCGGUCACCCUUGCCUUGGCACUAGCCGUGCAAUGGAAGAGGGGUGUGGUUAGGGUUUGGUUGUGCUUUCAAGAUCCGUCAAUGUUGUACCUGCUGUUAAACUGUACAGAAAUAACUCAUGCAUUGCUAAUUCCCUACUUGAAGGCUACUGCUGUGAAGGCACCUGUCAUGGCAAACUUCACGAACCCUAGCCCCCACCUCCUUCCUCUCCUCCCGCCGCCGCCGGCGGGCGCCGCCGGGCAAAGCCCGCGCGGUGCCGGCGGCGGCGGGAUCUCGUACCUCGCCUGGAACAGGGGCCGCGGGGGGCUGCUUCUUCGGGCGCAGCGGCGGAGCUCGGCGGCCGGCGCGUCGGGUGGCGCGCGCUGGUGGUCGGUGCGGAGCGGCGCGGCCUGCUGGCCGGUGGCGGCACGUCACGGUGGAGCGCGCGGGCCGGUGGCGGCGCAGUGUUCUUCGCGGCGGUGCUUGUUCUGGUCAGAUCCGCGCCGGCUGAUUUGAGGCGGCGGCCUCGCUGGGGCGGACGGCGCUCCUCCGGCGGCGGGGAGUGCUCGUCGGUGAGGUAGGCCGGAUCUCCUCGGCUGCACGGGCAACGAGGUCCCGGUGGCCGCUGGUCAUGGCGCGUGGAGGCCCCGGGCUCCCCUCGUCAGAUCGGAGGCGAUCUGGUCCGCUCGUGUUGCAUGACCUCCGGCCGGCCUGGAUCUCCGGUGUGCACGCGCCUGCUGAUGUUGUGUCUGGUUCGGAGGUGGCGGCAGGGUGCUUGGCCGGGGGAAACCCUUGGCCGCUGGUGGCGGUCACGACGUCGAUGGCGUCCCGGACGCCAUUCCCUCCUUGGUGGCGGCGCCGAGGCUAAACCUCCCCUGCCUCCCCCCUUCCCUGCGCCCGGGUGAAAACCCUAGCCCCGAUGGCUAAGUGGCGGCGCGCCACAGCGUCGUCACCUUCUUGAAGGCGCCGACUUGGGCAUGGGGAUGCUGGGUGUGCAUGGCGAGCGUGUCUGGUUCCUGGUGGCGGCCCGUCUGAUCUACCGCGUCGCAGCUCCGGGCAUGUCUCGUGACUGCGGUGCUUAUCUUCCGGCCGUGUCUCCGAUGGCGACCUCGCCCUUCCUCACCUUGUACUUGCCAUGGUGGAGCGGUUCUUCAUCUCACUCAUUGAUGGCGGCGGAGAUCGGCGGCAUGGCGCUAUGGAGGCUCGGCGUCCGAUGCGCGGAGAUGGACUCGCGCAGGAGGAGGUAGCUGUCUGGCGUCAUGGUGACGUCGAUGGCAGAAGUAGCCUUCACAAAGUAGAAGACUCAAUAUAAUCUGAAGACGGACUUGUGGAAGAUGGCGGCGACGACACAAGAGUGCGUCUGACCGGAUUGUGCCCCAGACCCGGUAUGUGGCUCGGCUGGGGCUUCCGGCUUUUGAUGUUAGGUUUAGGUGAGUGGUUUGGGUAGUGGCCCAGCUAGCAUCCCUUCAUCAUAUGGAUAAGAGUAGCGGCAUAUGUUGCCA